rnacentral:rRNA from 1 species
AUGCUAGCAAUGGAGCAUCAGCAGGAGGAGUCGUGUGUUCCCCCGGGGUUCAGGUUCCACCCCACGGAGGAGGAGCUGGUGGGGUACUACCUGGCUCGGAAGGUGGCCGCCCAGAAGAUCGACCUCGACAUCAUCCAGGAGGUGGAUCUCUACCGGAUCGAGCCAUGGGACCUCCAAGAGAGGUGCGGCGGCGGCGGCAGGGGAGGACGGGGAGCGUGUCAGGUGGCGGAGGAAGAUCAGUCGUUGUCGGAGUGGUACUUCUUCAGCUUCAAGGACCGCAAGUAUCCGAGCGGCACGCGCACCAACCGCGCCACGGCGGCCGGGUUCUGGAAGGCCACCGGCAGGGACAAGCCGGUGAUAUCGUCGAGGAGCCGAGGGGUAAUCGGCAUGAGGAAGACGCUGGUGUUCUACAGGGGCCGGGCACCCAACGGCAGGAAGACCGACUGGAUCAUCCACGAGUACCGCCUCCAGACCAGCGAGCACGCGCCCACCCAGGACGAAGGUUGGGUGGUGUGCCGGGCGUUCCAGAAGCCGGCGCCGAACCAGAGGCCGUCCUACAUCUUCCCCGCGUACGCCGCCGCUCCGGAUUUGGGCGGCUAUUACGACGCGCGGCCCUGGCUGCAGCUGCACGGCCAAGGUGGCGGUGACCUCCAUUACCUGCAGAGCGCCGCUGGCGCUGCCGCAGCCGGCGGCCUCGACGUCAAGUACUCCUCCGAGGACCUGCUGGACUCCAAGCAGAGUCUCUUCGACAAUAUCCCACAGCUUAUCCAGAGCCCGCAGACGACCGCCCUUCUAGGCUGCGGCGACGAUGCCAUCCUCCAGCAGCAGGGACAGGGACAGACGGUGCUCGGAAUCGACUGGAACUUCCUGGACAGCCUGUUGUCCACGUCGCAGCUGCACGAAUACUCUGCCACUGCUGCGUCCCAUCUGCACCUAGAGCAGUGA